CGUGGUGAUCCCUGAAGACCAGCGUGGGACGGAAACGAAUGGAUUUGUCACCACAGCCACCCAACACCACACCUGAAAGAGGCAGGAGGACUUAAAAUUGCAAUGGAUUGGUUGUGAAAUGCCAUGUGUAAAGCCAUGCCUUCCUGCUACACUGCAUGCUUCCUGAAGGAAGGGGCUCUGAUGGUCUUCAUCAUCACUGUAACUGUCUCCAGUGUCCACUUACAACUCACCUCCUCAGCGAACGCUUGUUGAGUAAAUAAAUGGAUAAAGAAAUCCCAUUUGUAAUGUUCUCUUCUUUGGAGAAAGAGCAUUCAGGCUGUUUUCAGACCUGUGUACCACCUGCCCCCCACACAAAAUAUUGCUGAGUACCUAGCAACAUGUGACAGCUACAGCAGGAAAUACUGGAUGCUCAUGAAACUCAGCAGCCACUCCUGGCCCCUUACCUUUGUUUCUGGCAAUUAAAAUGAGCUUAUUCCGUAUGGAAUCAUCGGGAGUAUCGAAGGAGCAAAAGGUGCCUCGUCCUCUCACCCUGCUGAUGAACUGGGGGUACCGGGCCUGCAGUGGGAGGAGACAAGGCUGGCGUCAAAGCCCAUCACCUGUGUACCAGCUGGGCUUAAUGGCUGUGCUUCGUCAAAGGCCUCCCAUGGUCCAGCCUCGGCCUCUGCAUGGACUGGCAGGACCUCCAGGGGGUUAAGAGCUCUGGGGACAUUCAGGCCUGGGUUCAAAGCCCAGCUGUGCACAUGUGUGUUGUGUGGAGGAAAAAAAACCACCACCACCACCAGCAACAACAACCAAGCCCAGCUCUGUCCCUCUCACUGUAUAACCUUGGGCCACUCAAGUGCCUCUGUUUACCCUGCUAUAAACUGAAGGAUUUAAAUGCUGUUGACCCCACUGGGGCCGUGGUGAGACUUUAAGAUAAGGUUCACAUGUUAAGUCCUAAGCCCGGGGCUGGGCACUUGGCGGAUGCUCCACAGAUGUUCGCCAUCUCCAUCGUCAGCUCUUCUAGAAAGGUGGUUCUUCUGGAAGAAGAAAUGCCUGUCCUCCCUCAGGGCUUUGAGACUGGGAGCUGUACUGGAUUGAAUAGUUUCCUCCCACUGCCCCCUAAAUUCAUGUUUACCUGGAACCUAUGACUAGGACCUAAUUUGGAAAUAAGGACUUCGCAGAAAUAAUUAGUUAGGUUAAAAUGAGGUCUUCCUGCAUUAGAAUGGCCCCUAAUGCAAUGACUGUUUUUUUGUUUUUUUUUUUUUGAGAUGGAGUCUCACUCUGUUGCCCUGGCUGGAGUGCAGUGGCACGAUCUCGGCUCACUGCAUCCUCUGCCUCCCAGGUUCAAAGAUUCUUGUGCUUCAGCCUCCUAAAUAGCUGGGAUUACAGGCACCUGCCAUCACACCUGGCUAAUUUUUUUUUUUUGUAGUUUUAGUAGAAACGGGGUUUCACAAUGUAGGCCAGGCUGGUUUCGAACUCCUGACCUCAAGUGAUCCACCUGCCUUGGCCUCCCAAAGUGCUGGGAUUACAGGUGUGAGCCACAGCGCCCGGCUCAGUGACUGGUAUCUUUAUAAGAAGAAGACAAUCUGGAGACAGACACAGGCACAGUGGGUAGAACGCCAAGUGAUGCCAGAAGCAGAGUGAAGCCUCCACACGUCAAGGAACAUGAAGGAUUCCCGGCAGCCACGAGAAGGUGGAGAGGGGCAUGGAACAGAUUCUCCCCCAGAGCCUCCAGAAGGAGCCAACUCUGCUGAAACCUUGAUUUCAGACCCUGGCCUCCAAACUGUGAGAGAAUAAAUCCUUGUUUUAACCCA